GCUCCUGACAGAAAGUCCAGCAGAUUCCAGCAGUAACAGCCUGCUGCCUGACAGAAAGUCCAGCAGAUUCCAGCAGUAACAGCCUGCUGUCUGACAGAAGUCCAGCAGAUUCCAGCAGUAACUGCUUGCUGCCUGACAGAAAGUCCAGCCGAUUCCACAGCAGUAACAGCCUGCUGUCUGACAAAGUCCGGCCGAUUCCAGCAGUAACAGCCUGAUGUCUGACAGAAAGUCCAGCAGAUUCCAGCAGUAACAGCCGUGCUGUCUGACAGAAAGUCCAGCAGAUUCCAGCAGUAACAGCCUGCUGUCUGACAGAAAGUCCAGCAGUAACAGCCUGCUGCCUGACAGAAAGUCCAGCAGUAACAGCCUGCUGCCUGACAGAAAGUCCAGCAGAUUCCAGCAGUAACAGCCUGCUUUCUGACAGAAAGUCCAGCAGAUUCCCAGCCAGUAACAGCCUGCUUUCUGACAGAAAGUCCAGC
rnacentral:lncRNA from 1 species